AAAACAAAACUAUUUAUUUAUGUAUAUAAUUCGGCCCAACCCAAUUAGGUUCUUAUAAUACGAAGUAUAUAAAACGGAAAACCCUAAAAUCCCAAAUGGCUUUCAAUUCCUCACACAUUCUCAAGAUCUCAGCCGCUCUUUCUCUCCUAUAUUUCAAUUUUCAGUUCUCAAAUUUCAAACCUUAAAAUCCUUUGUGAGUCGCUCUCUAUGUUCGAAUUUCUUGAUCUCCUUCACGUUUUAAACGUUCAACCAAGGUACUUUGUGGAAGAAGCCAAUUAGAUCCAACGGUAAUAGCUUGAUGCAUGUGCGAAAUUUGGGUACUUUGCGGAAGAAGCCAAUUAGAUCCAACGAUAAUAGGUUGAUGCAUGUGCAAAAUUUGGGUCAGAUCUGAAGCAACUUCAAGUGGAAGCUCACAAAUUCAAAAGUUCUCUACAUAAGAAAAAUUUAUGUAAAUUAUUUAUUUAUUUUUAGCUUUGAAUUAAUCUAUGUAAAUUAUACGUAUGUAAUUUGUGAAUUUAUACAUCUGUGAAUUUACCAUAAUAAA